GGACCUCCGAUUAAGUAAGA
rnacentral:rRNA from 1 species